AUUGAACGCUGGUGGCAUGCCUUACACAUGCAAGUCGAAUGGCAGCACGGGUGCUUGCACCUGGUGGCGAGUGGCGAACGGGUGAGUAAUACAUCGGAACGUACCUUAUCGUGGGGGAUAACGCAGCGAAAGCUGUGCUAAUACCGCAUACGCCCUGAGGGGGAAAGCGGGAGAUCGAAAGACCUCGCGCGAUUAGAGCGGCCGAUGCCUGAUUAGCUUGUUGGUGGGGUAAAAGCCCACCAAGGCGACGAUCAGUAGCUGGUCUGAGAGGACGAUCAGCCACACUGGGACUGAGACACGGCCCAGACUCCUACGGGAGGCAGCAGUGGGGAAUUUUGGACAAUGGGGGCAACCCUGAUCCAGCAAUGCCGCGUGAGUGAAGAAGGCCUUCGGGUUGUAAAGCUCUUUUGUCAGGGAAGAAACACCGGCUCUAACACAGUCCGGGAAUGACGGUACCUGAAGAAUAAGCACCGGCUAACUACGUGCCAGCAGCCGCGGUAA
rnacentral:rRNA from 1 species